rnacentral:rRNA from 1 species
CCAGAACACAUAACUAACAUACCCUCUGAACUAAGACCACUCCCGGCAACUCUAGCUUAUCCCUGAUAAAUGACAACUCCUCCCAUGGAUAUUCGCUAAAAGGGUGCGUAGAUCAUGAUUCUAGACGUCGCCCAAGGAGGGGGCCGCGGCCGAUCAGGUUGUUGGUGAGGUAACGGCUCACCAAGCCUUUAACCGGUACGGGCCGUGAGAGCGGAAGCCCGGAGAUGGGCACUGAGACAAGGGCCCAGGCCCUACGGGGCGCAGCAGUCGCGAAAACUCCGCAAUACACGAAAGUGUGACGGGGCCAUCCCGAGUGCCAUCCGCUGAGGAUGGCUUUUCCCUAGUAUAUAAAGCUGGGGGAAUAAGGAGAGGGCAAGCCUGGUGUCAGCCGCCGCGGUAA